UGGGGAAUUUUGGACAAUGGGCGAAAGCCUGAUCCAGCAAUGCCGCGUGUGUGAAGAAGGCCUUCGGGUUGUAAAGCACUUUUGUCCGGAAAGAAAUCCUUGGCUCUAAUACAGUCGGGGGAUGACGGUACCGGAAGAAUAAGCACCGGCUAACUACGUGCCAGCAGCCGCGGUAAUACGUAGGGUGCAAGCGUUAAUCGGAAUUACUGGGCGUAAAGCGUGCGCAGGCGGUUUGCUAAGACCGAUGUGAAAUCCCCGGCUCAACCUGGGAAUGCAUUGGUGACUGGCAGGCUAGAGUAUGGCAGAGGGGGGUAGAAUUCCACGUGUAGCAGUGAAAUGCGUAGAGAUGUGGAGAAUACCGAUGGCGAAGGCAGCCCCCUGGGCCAAUACUGACGCUCAUGCACGAAAGCGUGGGGAGCAAAACAGGAUUAGAUACCCUGGUAGUCCACGCCCUAAACGAUGUCAACUAGUUGUUGGGGAUUCAUUUCCUUAGUAACGUAGCUAACGCGUGAAGUUGACCGCCUGGGGAGUACGGUCGCAAGAUUAAAACUCAAAUGAAUUGACGGGGUCAUAGCUGUUU
rnacentral:rRNA from 1 species